UCGCUUUGUAGAAUUCAUUUAUUUUAACAACUCUCCUGUUUGUCUUUCUGUCUAUUCUUACCGAAUCGACGGCUGUCAUCUGAUUGUGUCCUGCUUUGAUGGUCUCCAUUUCAUUUCAAACGUAAUCUCUUCUCCCUGAGCUUCAGCAGUAAACGUCGCCCCAAUGACAUGGGAUCUGAUCGUCGGCAUCUGCAGGAAGGGCGUCUCGGCUGUCACGCAACAGUCGGUUCAUUAAGUCCCUUUUGCGUGUAAUCAUGAACUGUAGAAAUAAAUAAAAGAAAAAAAAAGAGAGCAACUUAGUAAAAUUGGAAUGAAACACAGAGAAAGGAAUUCUUACAACGUAAACAACAAAAUUUUCGCUGGUAAAAACAAAAGUUCUGAAAUAAAUGGAGAAAUUCAAAAGACCGUCUGUCAUAUUUACAGAUGCCCAAGGCUUGAAAUUCUGUGGGAGCCAACAGUUCUGAGAGGAAGAGAUUGGUCGGUACCUUUGACUCCAGUACUUGACUCCAGACUGCUUGAUUAUUUCGAGACCCGAAAGAAUGAAAGCCAGAUCUGAGCUCGGUGAGAUGCUAUCCUGGAAUGUAAAACACUGGAACUAAAACAGCAAGGAAGUUUUUCGAAGUUUUAACCAUUCUGCUAGCUUUCAGCCUGAAUUUUCCCCAUAAAAUUCUCUCCUUUGCAAA